GGCGCAUAUCAUGACAAAUUCCGCGCGAACGUCAGAUUAAUUCGGCUAGUAAUAAAAAGUAGUUACAUCUGGAAACAAUUAUUACAUCACGAACACUGACCAACAAACUCAUGAUCAUGCCGCGGAGCAGUUUGCGUACCACUUUUAGCAACUAUUGUUUGCGCGUUGUAAUUGCAGAGUAAUCAACGGAAAGAAAAGAUAUUGCUUCCUGAGAAUUGGCACACGGUGUAAUGGUAUCUCAUAAAGAAGCAACACACAUUGCAAACAACGGUUUCAACCUGGGGGUAAUUACGACCUAAUCUAAUAGAAUUGAUAGUCACUUGCUCCUCCUCUUCCUCUUUUUUGAACGGCCGUCAGGAAAAAAUGUCAAAAAACUUCGGAUCCGUACAACAUCUGCCAUCCGCUCUUGGAAGCGAACCGAUAAAUAUCAUACGAGGAUAUGGGAACAAGUCAGUGCGUGUGCAAACUAGGCAUCGCUUGUGAGAAAUUUCAAAUGAAAAACGAAUGAAAUUUGAUAUUUUCCCUCCCAUUUUCAACCACCGGAGAUAAUGCAUUUAAAAAUUAAGUUCACACCGUCCUAUACACAAAUGACAAUAUAAUAAACUAGUUUAUUCUUAUUCAAUUACA